AGUGAACGCUGGCGGUAGGCCUAACACAUGCAAGUCGAACGGCAGCACAGUAAGAGCUUGCUCUUACGGGUGGCGAGUGGCGGACGGGUGAGGAAUACAUCGGAAUCUACUUUUUCGUGGGGGAUAACGUAGGGAAACUUACGCUAAUACCGCAUACGACCUACGGGUGAAAGCAGGGGAUCUUCGGACCUUGCGCGAUUGAAUGAGCCGAUGUCGGAUUAGCUGGUUGGCGGGGUAAAGGCCCACCAAGGCGACGAUCCGUAGCUGGUCUGAGAGGAUGAUCAGCCACACUGGAACUGAGACACGGUCCAGACUCCUACGGGAGGCAACAGUGGGGAAUAUUGGACAAUGGGCGCAAGCCUGAUCCAGCCAUACCGCGUGGGUGAAGAAGGCCUUCGGGUUGUAAAGCCCUUUUGUUGGGAAAGAAAAGCAGCAGGUUAAUACCCCGCUGUUCUGACGGUACCCAAAGAAUAAGCACCGGCUAACUUCGUG
rnacentral:rRNA from 1 species